UACAGAGGUCCCGAGCGUUGUUCGGAUUUAUUGGGCGUAAAGGGUGCGUAGGCGGCGGAGUAAGUUGGGUGUGAAAUCCCGGGGCUCAACCUCGGAAUGGCAUUCAAUACUGCUUCGCUAGAGUACUGGAGAGGAGGCUGGAAUUUACGGUGUAGCAGUGGAAUGCGUAGACAUCGUAAGGAAGGCCGGUGGCGAAAGCGAGCCUCUGGACAGUUACUGACGCUGAUGCACGAAGGCCAGGGGAGCAAACGGG
rnacentral:rRNA from 1 species